CAUCCGUGCUCAGGGUGAUGCUGAUGGUGCUCUGGACAGGCUUUGGCAGAAGAAGAAAGUAGAAGCUCGCCAGCAGUAAAAAGUAGCUAUAGGGUGUUUUGCAGUGGAAGAUGUGGUUUUAGUUUCAACUUUAUGACCUCUGCUUGGUACUCUAUGAUUUAGUUAUUUUGUUUCCCUGGUUGGACAAAGCUGAAGGCUGGCAUUUGUGUUUAAUUUUGAAGUUUAAUUUGACUUUUUUUCAAGGAUUAUGUUUCUUAAUGUUAUUAGGGAUUGGGACAACUCAUUUAGCUUUGUUAGCUAGCAGUUAUGUUUCUUAAUGUUAUAUGAGGGAUUGG
rnacentral:misc_RNA from 1 species